CCUUUUGAAUGCACUCGUGUACAAUUUUUGUCUUCUAUCUUCUGCCAUCGUCAGUUUAGUAGACAACGCGAAUUGUGUAUCACGGAGUUAUGUAAUUUCAUUUGUUCUCUACUCGAAUGAUAAAAGUCAACACCGUUGAUUUUUACUGUGUAACGUUUUAGACUAUAGUAUUUGAUAGGUACUUUGUGUAGUAUUAAUACUUAAAUUUAACAACUGUUAUCAAAUUAAACACAUGUUCUGAUAAUAUUAAAAUUACCCAUGUCCCGCUUGGUAUUAAAAUACCAUGCAGGUUAACACUUACGGAGAGUGUAGUGGUGGGCAUUCACGCAGUAAAUAUUAGUUGGAG